CACAAGUAUUAUUCAUUAUUAGUUCAUGUUAGUGAUUACAUUAACUAUUGAAACCUUAUUGUAAAUAAGCUAAAUACAGCAAAACAUUUGCCCAUAACAUUUUCUCAUUGCAUUGUUUUCCACUUUAAACCUUAGCAAUCCAGUGGCUAGUGCAACAAAACGGAUCAUAACCAUGAUCUGGAGUGUUAAACAUUACUUAACCCCAAGGUUUUACCCUUUUACCUAGGGUUAAGGAUAGCGCUAAAAGCCCUUAAGAGUCUCCUGUCAUUCACCAGCAGUGAGUCAACCAUCCAAACAUCCAUCCGGGAAUCACUAGACAACACCGAGCAGAAACAACCCCCCAUUCCAUCUUAGCCUCAAUUGUUUUUUUACAGGCCCACUGGAAUGUCAGGUAUGUCACACCCACCACACCCAGAGACCAGAGAAAGGCACAAGCCAGGGCAAGCAGGUGAGGCUUUAUCUCAGUUUGUGACAGGCCGUGGUGUCUGUUUCUGCACUUCUUUACCAACCCCCGUCUUACAUCUGCCGGCCCGCCGGAGUCAGGCUGGGAAAAUUCCCUUGAGUGGAACAAGUAGGAGGAAGUAGAAGGUUGAUUUCAGGACAGCCGAACUGCAGGAGCUCGCAACUGCUCAGUGAGUAAAGCCUCCAUCCACCCGUGACCAUCCAGUACAUGAGGCAGUGAAGGCAGGCAUCUCAGACCUCCCAGGAAGCCAAAUCAGCAGCAGCAUGCCUGCGGGCCACGGACCCCCACAGAGAAGCGAAACUACCCGACUUAGAAUCCUGUCCAGCAGAGCAAACCUAAAAUAUGGCUUUUCCACUUUAAUCCGUUACUUAUUAUUGCUCACUUUUCCUAUUCGUUUCUGACAAUAAAGGGUAACCGGUGUUUUAUAUCAAUGUAAUACAGUGAUGCGAGAAAUGUUAGGAUGUGUAUAAUAUUAAUACAUUAUCACAUUCUAUGAUGAUAUUAGUAUAAAUAUCAUUAAGAAGGUUGAACCAAACAAUUCAUAGACAUGUAAUGCGUUAGUUAAUCAUGACAGUAUAAACAAACCAAAUGUUGGGCCACACAUAUGAUCUGUGAUGUAUUAAAACAUUUAAAAUCUGA